CUCAGGUGACCAUGUUCCAUGACCAUGAUCAGACCUAUAACCCGAGUAGACAUUGAUCUACUUAGUGAGAGAAGGUCAGACGCCACUCUGGAGGAAGGCGACUGUAGUACCAUUCUACUCAUUCUCAUACCCGGAUGCAACCUUCACCUUCUCUCAUUUUUAGCGCGAACCCAUUUGAAAUUAAAUAAAGUUUAUUUCUGUUAAAGUUACAAACUAUUACAAUUAGUUUUAAUAUCUGAAUUUAUAAUUAAUGUAUAUACAAUAAAUAAUCAAAAGUAUUAUAUAUAGCGUAUGGAAAUUUAGCCUACAUGGGCAAGCAGCCUGUGCGUAGGCUAGAGUCGUAUUAUUAAUAAAUAGUAUGUAUAUAAAACUAUUCUCCAAGGAAUGUAGCACUGAUAUAUCUCUUACAGCAAAGUUACUGUAGUCUUUAUUAAAUAAAUAGUUUAUCACCAUCAGUGUAUUCCAGUACCUGUCAACUGGUAUUUUUUCAAGUUUACUGCCGAAGGUGGAUGUGAAGGGGGAGAUAAAUGUAGUAUUCAGUAAUGUCUACUGUAGCAGUUAGUUGUAGGUAAUUAUAAUCAUGAGCAAACAAUUUCGAGAUAGUCCCAUAGGAUUCAUACCUUGGGUUACCGAAGAACAGUUGAGGGCCUGUCAUAAUUUUGACACUGAGCCCCGGUUGGCCAGAGCAUCAGCUCUUUCAUUCCCAGGGAUCCCCUCGUGACCAGGAACCCAACCGACAGUCAUAUUAUUGAUUCUGCCAAGGGAAGGAACGACUUGAUAGCAAUCUCAGACAAGUUUGGAGUUGAACACACAAGAGUCCAGCGCCACCAGUGCUGCUGGACUAUCAAAUGUGAACUCUGCCAAUCUGCUAAGGAGAACUUUACAGCUCUUGGUUUGAAGGCACUCUGCAGUAUGGAAUAAUCCACUAUGGAGGUACCUACGAGUCUGUUUUAAUACCAAUAAAAACUCACAAAGAUUUGCGGUGAGAAAUAUUUAUAAUUUAAAGAAAUAUGGUAGAAUUUCACAGUUAUUUAAGGAAGACAUUUUAACUUUUAAUCAACUUUAUAUUUUAUCAUUGGUUAAAUUACAUCCAUACAUUCUAGGCAGUUUUAACAUUAAAAAGAAUGUAGUUAAUACAAGAUCAUCAUCUCAAGUAAAGCAAAUUUAAAUGCCAAACUACACCAAGGAGUUGGCAAAAAAAUUCACUUAUACAGCCGUUAAACAUUUCAGUGCACUCAUAAUAACUAUUGUAACAGUCUAUUGUAUGAACCGAAACCAAAAUUUAAGAUAAAAGCUAGAGAAUAUUUGAAAGAGCUACAUUUUUAAUGGUUUUAUUUUUAUUGUUGUGUCACAUUAAAUAUAGUUUAUCAUAUAAUUUAAAAAAUGUUAUGUAUUUUAGAGUUUCUUAUAAUAUGUCUACUGUUGAGCUGUUAUUGUUGAAAUUGUUUGACAGAUCUACAUAUUGUUGCAUUUUUUACUGUUGUACAUAUUUUAUAUUAAAUCCUGUUUUGUUGAACUUGGUGAACCUUGGAUUUGUUAAAUUUGUACCAACAUUUGAAUAUCGAUUUAUCACAUAAUAGUUGUUUUUUAUCUUCUAAAUGAAUUUUACCAUUAAAUGCCUACUGCCAAGCUAUAGUUGUUGAAAUUGUUUGUUAAAUAACUUAAUAAAUUUGUUAUAGUUUGAUAUUUUUGUAUUUAAUCAUGUAUUAUUGACUUAUGUAUUUUAAAUCUGUCUAAGUAAUCCUUAAAUUUGUUUAGCAUUUUACUAUUAAUUGGUCUUAUUUGAUUUAUGUAAUGAUUUAUUUAUUUAUAAUAUCUAAAAUUUUUUAAACAUGUUAUUUAUUUAAAUUUAAGUUCACCCUCUGCCAAAAGAUGACUGGAUAGGCUUUGAAUAUACUUUACCAAAUGUAUUAUAAAUUGACAAUAUAUUAAAAAAGAAAUUGUUUUUCUCUUCCACACGUGCAUAUGGAAUUGCAUAUUUUGUAAACUAUUUGAAAAUAAAAUUGUUGUGAACUGUGAA